UGCUAUUCAAAGAGAGAGAUACAAUAUUUAACAAAAUUUAUAAUAAAGAUUGUUCAAUCUAUUUAAAUUAAAAUGUUAAAGCAAUCAGAGUUUCUCUCAAAGCUCAUAUUUGUCUGACUGCGUAAAUAAUCGUUUUCUCAUUUUCCUCAGCAUUUCAUAAGUGUCCAACUCAUGGGGAGUGUGGAUAUCAGUGCUCCUGGCACAGAAAAUGCAAAUUUACUAAAUGCUGCCAAUAUAAAUGUGGUUCCAAAUGCGUACCACUAAUAGGCCCAUGAGUUUAGCCAAAUCUUUACAUCUGUUCAAGCCUCACUGUUAUGAAGAUAAUGAUGGUGAAUGCAGCUGCAAGAAGUGCUCUCUAAACAGAUGUGAAGACACCUGUAAACAAUGUUUUUUUUCUUAAAAACACCAACUGAGCUGCAUCAUACAGUACUGUAUGCUCUUCUUUGGUUUCCUUAAUAAAGUCAUAAUGAUAAAAACUCA